AGGGCUCAGAUUCGCCUUUGAUAUAUCAUACAACCUAGCUCCACCAUCUUCUUUCACCAGAUCAACCCCCACCAAUGAAGUCGAGCUCCUCUGGUUAUCACUCAACAGAAUGACCAUCCAAGAGAGAGCCGUCAAUAUUCAGUGAGAAUGAAAAGGUUCGAAAAGAGGGGGGAGUGGGUUUUUUAAGCCCACAGCUCCUCGAAUAAUCGAAGAAAAGUUUAUGUCAGCCAAAUUUUAUCAUCAUCGCCCCAGAUAAGUUUCCGACAUGGUUCACCCAAAAGGUAGGGUGGGAAACCACCUGAAGGACGGCGUCGAAUCGAGAAGGAGAAGCGCCGGCGACGAGAGAGAACGAGAUCCAGAAAGAGGGAGACGAGAGGGACGAAUGAGAGGACGAAAGGGUGGGUCGCUGCCCUCCCCCACCCCAUAGCCGGACGAGCAAACCACCGCACGCCACGCACGACCCCCGGGAGCGAAAAGACCGAAACACCCUCGGCGGGGGCAGGAUUUUACGUGCGGUGGCAUGAGAUCUUUCCCCCGCCGACGCGCGCGACGGGGCGACCGGGCCGGAACCAAGCCACGGUCGCUGACAACAGAGGCCCACCCGCGAACGGACCCACACAUCAGCGACUUUAGAACGGUAAAAACGAAGUAAAAACGAGCGGGGGGAGGCGCCAGCAAUAGAUUUUUUCGAUCCGAUUUUGAUCCGACGGCGCAGAUUCCUCCAGAUGUCGAUCCAACGGACGAAAACGCAUCAAGCGGCCCGAUCCAACGGCUGAGAACCGCGAUCGCUGAGGAGCCUCCGGCAUCCACUCGUCUCUUAUUCCAACAUGGUUCAUUUUGUGCUGAGCUUUUCCAAAAAGGGUCAAAACACUGAUUUCGGCCGCAGCAUGGUACACACAUGCAUGCAUGCAUGCAUACGUCACUCGGGUUGAGAGUUCUGACACCAUUGACAAUGUCAAGGCCAAGAUCAAGGACAAGGAGGGCAUCCGCCCUGACCAGCAGGGCCUUAUCUUUGCUGGUAAGCAGCUGGACGAUGGCCGCAGCCUCACUGACUACAACAACCCGAAGGAGUCCACCCUUCACCUGCUGUCACCUCCGUGGUGGCCAUCCAUCCAUCAGUCUGAGGAGCUGCUCAUACCUGGCCUCAACUAACCAAACCUCCAGCUCGGAGCACACCUCUCAGAUAACACCGUGCGGUUCCCAGCCCACGCCACAACCGGAUCCAAGGCAAUGGAAUGUCGGUGGCUGGCGGCACCAUAGCGACGGGACUGAGAGGGCGGCCACCGAAAUGAUGGGUCAGUCAGCAAGUCCGGCUGUAGAUGCUCUUAGUAUCCACCACCACCAGCACCAGUGUCUUGAUUGCUCAAGACAAUGAUUAUUUCAGCAACAAUCUUCAUCAUAGCUCCGCCACUAUUUUCUCUGAUGAGAAAGAGGUUGCACACCAAGCAACAUGACCAUGAUAUUUCUUUACAGAGGGAGUACACAUCACAUUCAUGCAUGCGUGCACGCAUGGAGCGAUCAGGUUCAGGGGCUGCUCAUACCUGGCGUCAGCCGACCAAACCUCCCAGCGCGGAACACGCAUCAGACCACAAACACCGUACGGUUCCAAGCCCACGCCGCAACCAAAUCCAAGCCAAUGGAGCGGCGGCGGCUGGCGGCGCUGUAGCGGUGCGGAACUGACGCGGCGGCCACCGGGAGGAUGGUUCAGCGAUCCGGCAACGAGCGCUCGCCUGAUUCGGGUUAGGGUUUGGGUUCAGGUGCGGGCGUCCACACCGAGGGAGAGAGAGAGGGAGGGAGUAUGCAGGGGAGCACUAACCAGGACAGGACGGAGGUAGUACCAAAUCCUAAGCAAGAUGCAGCCAAGCGAGAAAUCCAUGGACGGCGGCUCAGAUCAGAUCCCGCGCCAGCCCGGCCAAGCCCUUGAUCGAAACCCGCCGCUCGGUCCCCAGCCCACACGGCCGUGGACGGCUCCCGCAGCGGCGGCGGCCCCGAGGGGCCUCCAAGCCAAUGCGCGGUCCGGCGCGGGGGAGGGGAGGGGCUGGCCCCGAGGAGCGGCGAGUCCGUCCGUCGGUCGGCUGCCUCCACCAUCAUCCCGUCGUUCGCCCGCCCUCUCAGUCCGAGGCCGAGGCGGCCGCGCGAACCAGAGCAGCCCGGCCGCCUCGGCCUCCGUGAGCGUGAGCAGGCAUCCCGGUCGAGCUCCCGGCGGCGAAGGAGAUGACGGCGGCUGGGUAGGGAGGCGAGCGCGGGGUAGGGUGGGAAACCACCUGAAGGACGGUGUCGAAUCGAGUAGGAGAAGCGCCGGCGACGAGAGAGAACGAGAUCCAGAAAGAGGGAGACGAGAGGGACGAAUGAGAGCACGAAAGGGUGGGUCGCUGCCCUCCCCCACCCCAUAGCCGGACGAGCAAACCACCGCACGCCACGCACGACCCCCGGGAGCGAAAAGACCGAAACACCCUCGGCGGGGGCAGGAU
rnacentral:lncRNA from 1 species